GACUCUUAGCGGUGGAUCACUCAGCUUCUGCGUCUAUGAAGAACGCAGCUAGCUGCGAGAAUUGAUGUGCAUUGCAGGACUCAUUGAUCAUCAACACUCCCAGCGCACUUGCAGCCCCGGGUUUCUCCUGGGGCUACGCCUGUCUGAGCGUGG
ensembl:rRNA 5_8S_rRNA 5.8S ribosomal RNA